rnacentral:rRNA from 1 species
GCAAGUCGAACGGUAACAGGAUAAGUGCUUGCACUUAUCGCUGACGAGUGGCGGACGGGUGAGUAACGCGUAGGAAUCUGCCCUGUAGUGGGGGAUAACCCGGGGAAACCCGGGCUAAUACCGCAUACGCUCUACGGAGGAAAGCGUGGGACCUUAGGGCCACGCACUAUGGGAUGAGCCUGCGUUAGAUUAGCUAGUUGGUGGGGUAAAGGCCUACCAAGGCGACGAUGAAUAGCCGGCCUGAGAGGGUGACC